UGGGGAAUAUUGCACAAUGGGCGCAAGCCUGAUGCAGCCAUGCCGCGUGUGUGAAGAAGGCCUUCGGGUUGUAAAGCACUUUCAGCGAGGAGGAAGGUGGUGGACUUAAUACGUUCAUCAAUUGACGUUACUCGCAGAAGAAGCACCGGCUAACUCCGGUGCCAGCAGCCGCGGUAAUACGGAGGGUGCAAGCGUUAAUCGGAAUUACUGGGCGUAAAGCGCACGCAGGCGGUUUGUUAAGUCAGAUGUGAAAUCCCCGGGCUCAACCUGGGAACUGCAUUUGAAACUGGCAAGCUAGAGUCUCGUAGAGGGGGGUAGAAUUCCAGGUGUAGCGGUGAAAUGCGUAGAGAUCUGGAGGAAUACCGGUGGCGAAGGCGGCCCCCUGGACGAAGACUGACGCUCGAGGUGCGAAAAGCGUGGGGAGCAAACAGGAUUAG
rnacentral:rRNA from 1 species